rnacentral:rRNA from 1 species
ACGGGUGAGUAACACGUGGGCAAUCUGCCCUUCACUCUGGGACAAGCCCUGGAAACGGGGUCUAAUACCGGAUAUCACUCCUGCAGGCAUCUGCAGGGGUCGAAAGCUCCGGCGGUGAAGGAUGAGCCCGCGGCCUAUCAGCUUGUUGGUGAGGUAAUGGCUCACCAAGGCGACGACGGGUAGCCGGCCUGAGAGGGCGACCGGCCACACUGGGACUGAGACACGGCCCAGACUCCUACGGGAGGCAGCAGUGGGGAAUAUUGCACAAUGGGCGAAAGCCUGAUGCAGCGACGCCGCGUGAGGGAUGACGGCCUUCGGGUUGUAAACCUCUUUCAGCAGGGAAGAAGCGAAAGUGACGGUACCUGCAGAAGAAGCGCCGGCUAACUACGUGCCAGCAGCCGCGGUAAUACGUAGGGCGCAAGCGUUGUCCGGAAUUAUUGGGCGUAAAGAGCUCGUAGGCGGCUUGUCACGUCGGGUGUGAAAGCCCGGGGCUUAACCCCGGGUCUGCAUUCGAUACGGGCUAGCUAGAGUGUGGUAGGGGAGAUCGGAAUUCCUGGUGUAGCGGUGAAAUGCGCAGAUAUCAGGAGGAACACCGGUGGCGAAGGCGGAUCUCUGGGCCAUUACUGACGCUGAGGAGCGAAAGCGUGGGGAGCGAACAGGAUUAGAUACCCUGGUAGUCCACGCCGUAAACGGUGGGAACUAGGUGUUGGCGACAUUCCACGUCGUCGGUGCCGCAGCUAACGCAUUAAGUUCCCCGCCUGGGGAGUACGGCCGCAAGGCUAAAACUCAAAGGAAUUUGACGGGGGCCCGCACAGCAGCGGAGCAUGUGGCUUAAUUUCGACGCAACGCGAGAACCCUUACCAAGGCUUUGACAUACACCGGGAACGUCUUGGAGACAGGCGCCCCCUUGUGGUCCGGUGUACAGUGUGCAUGGGCUGUCGUUCAGCUCGUGUGUGAGAUGUGGGUUAAGUCCCCGCAACGAAGCGCAACCUUGUCCUGGUAU